rnacentral:lncRNA from 1 species
UGGCUCUCCCUUUUUUUUUUUUUUUUUUUUUUUUUUUGUCUCUAGGGAAGGAACUUGGGUCUUUGUGCUUGCGAGGCAGGUAGCGGAACUACUGAGCUAAAUUCCAGCCCAUCUCCUUUCUUGACUUCCACAUUGCCUUUGCAUUCUCUGUGGGAAUUUACGUUUCUUGCUCCACAUCUGUUCACAUAUGCCCUUCACACUUGAGGUAUCGUCCUUUGAACAUCUUUCUGUCAACCCAAAAUGAAUGUUACAGAAGAAAAGCCAUUGUAUAUGUCAUCUUUUCUUUCCUACCACCUCAGCUACAUCCCUCCUGCACUAACAUUGUUC